CCUGCCAGUAGUCAUAUGCUUGUCUCAAAGACUAAGCCAUGCAUGUGUUAGUAUGAACUGAAUUUCAAAGUGAAACUGCGAAUGGCUCAUUAAAUCAGUUAUAGUUUAUUUGAUAGAUACGCGUUCAGCACUACAUGGAAUAACUGUAGUAACAUAGAGCUAAUACAUGCAUAAGAAUCUGACCUCACGGAAAGAUUUUGCACUUAUUAGAUACCAAACCAAUAUCCUUCACGGGAUUUUAUUGGUGAUUCAAAAUAACUGAACAAAUCGCAUAGUCUUGUACUGGCGAUGUAUCAAUCAAGUUUCUGCCCUAUCAACUUGAUGUUAGUGUAUUGUACUAACAUGGUGAUAACGGGUAACAGAGGAUUAGGGUUCGAUCCUGGAGAAGGAGCAUGAGAAAUGGCUACUAUUUACUAAGGAAAGC
rnacentral:rRNA from 1 species